rnacentral:rRNA from 1 species
UACGGAGGGCGCGAGCGUUGUCCGGAAUCACUGGGCGUAAAGGGCGCGUAGGCGGCCCUGGUAAGUCUGCGGUGAAAGCCCGGGGCUCAACCCCGGGUCGGCCGCGGGUACUGCCGGGCUGGAGUGCCGUAGGGGCAGGCGGAAUUCCGGGUGUAGCGGUGGAAUGCGUAGGGAUCCGGAAGAACACCGGUGGCGAAGGCGGCCUGCUGGGCGGCGACUGACGCUGAGGCGCGACAGCGUGGGGAGCAAACAGG